UAUGGAAUAAACAGUAACGGUUAGAACCCAUCCAUCCAGAGUCCUAUGGAAUAAACAGUAACGGUUAGAACCCAUCCAUCCAGAGUCCUAUGGAAUGAACAGUAACGGUUAGAACCCAUCCAUCCAGAGUCCUAUGGUAUAAACAGUUAUGAACAGUAACGGUUAGAACCCAUCCAUCCAGAGUCCUAUGGAAUAAACAGUAACGGUUAGAACCCAUCCAUCCAGAGUCCUAUGGAAUAAACAGUAACGGUUAGAACCCAUCCAUCCAGAGUCCUAUGGAAUAAACAGUGGGAACAGUAACGGUUAGAACCCAUCCAUCCAGAGUCCUAUGGAAUAAACAGUAACGGUUAGAACCCAUCCAUCCAGAGUCCUAUGGAAUAAACAGUAACGGUUAGAACCCAUCCAUCCAGAGUCCUAUGGUAUAAACAGUGGGAACAGUAACGGUUAGAACCCAUCCAUCCAGAGUCCUAUGGAAUAAACAGUAACGGUUAGAACCCAUCCAUCCAGAGUCCUAUGGUAUAAACAGUAACGGUUAGAACCCAUCCAUCCAGAGUCCUAUGGAAUAAACAGUAACGGUUAGAACCCAUCCAUCCAGAGUCCUAUGGAAUAAACAGUAACGGUUAGAACCCAUCCAUCCAGAGUCCUAUGGAAUAAACAGUAACGGUUAGAACCCAUCCAUCCAGAGUCCUAUGGAAUAAACAGUGGGAACAGUAACGGUUAGAACCCAUCCAUCCAGAGUCCUAUGGUAUAAACAGUGGGAACAGUAAGUGAUGGCAUAUCAACUAACUCACCUAACUGGUACAGUGUCUUCAUCUCUACAUAAUGGUCAGAUUGUAUGUAUAUGCAGAGCCGGGGCUUGAAUUUAUAGAUCUGUCUAUAGCAAGAUGGCAGGGUGUGUGUGUGUGUGUGUGUGUGUGUGUGUGUGUGUGUGUGUGUGUGUGUGUGUGAGUCUAAUCUGAAAUACCUCAGUUGUCCUAUCCGGGGGUUUUGUGGUUGUCGACAAUGGUUUGGCAUCGACUUUCACGUCUUUGAUUUGCAAUAAUAAUAAAUUGUCCUUGUGUUCUGUUGUUGGUUAUAGAUCAGGGGUUCCCAAACGUCCCCCCUAUGGGCACAAGCACUGUUCAUGACACAAACUGUUAACACCCCGCUUGUUGGUAGAGAGAAUUUAGCAGAUUUAAAGCGUAUUUCCUGCAAUUCUACACAUUUUGUCACAGGAAAAUGUUGUCGUUUUAAUGCUAAUUUUCUUGCAAUUAUUUACAAAUUUGAUCACGUCUAAUGUGUAUUCAUGUGAUAUUUGAGUGACUCAAAAACUACAACAAUAUUUAUGAGCUAAAAAAAAAAAGUAAGUAAAAAAGACAGCCACGGGCUGAUUGAUCUGGACAUUCCUGACUAGUUAUAAACAUCUCUCUAAUGUGAACAAUGACUAACAUGACAAGAGGAGCUGAUGAUGUCAUAGCCCAUUUAGAAAUGUCACCUUGUACAUUCUACCAUUAUCACUUUCAGGAGGAGUAAGUUUAAAGCUGGACUGAGUUCCUUUAAAAAAUCUCUAUAUAUACGUAUAUAUAUAUAUUUUUAAAUGGAGAGGGGAGGACCACAUGCUGCCACUGCGGGGGCGCCGGGGCGCCCCGCCCCACAGUUUGGGAACCGCUGGUAUAGACGACCACCUAUUGUUUCAAUCAAUCAGCUGUGUUUCAGUACAAUGUCUAUAUGGGGUACAUGUCAAUGAAGCCAAAUGUUAAUUUUGUUAGUGUCUUAGUUUGCCCUACAUUGCAAUAACAACGAUAGAGACCUUUGAAAAUUGGACCAUCCAAACCUUUAUUCAAAGAAAGCACUGUUGUGAUAUUUAAAAAGGCAAGAAACAAUGCUUAACCUACUGUACCAGUGAGUGGAUGAGGUCAUGUGCAGCACCAAUACCUACCACUGAGUGGAUGAGGUGAUAUGCAGCACCAAUACCUACCACUGAGUGGAUGAGGUGUUGUGCAGCACCAAUACCUACCACUGAGUGGAUGAGGUGUUGUGCAGCACCAAUACCUACCACUGAGUGGAUGAGGUCAUGUGCAGCACCAAAACCUACCACUGAGUGGAUGAGGUGUUGUGCAGCACCAAAACCUACCACUGAGUGGAUGAGGUCAUGUGCAGCACCAAAACCUACCACUGAGUGGAUGAGGUGUUGUGCAGCACCAAUACCUACCACUGAGUGGAUGAGGUGAUGUGCAGCACCAAUACCUACCACUGAGUGGAUGAGGUCAUGUGCAGCACCAAAACCUACCACUGAGUGGAUGAGGUGAUGUGCAGCACUAAUACCUACCAGUGAGUGGAUGAGGUGAUGUGCAGCACUAAUACCUACCAGUGAGUGGAUGAGGUGAUGUGCAGCACUAAUACCUGCCACUGAGUGGAUGAGGUGAUGUGCAGCACCAAUACCUACCUACCACUGAGUGGAUGAGGUGAUGUGCAGCACCAGUACCUACCUACCACUGAGUGGAUGAGGUGAUGUGCAGCACCAAUACCUACUACUGAGUGGAUGAGGUGUUGUGCAGCACCAAUACCUACCAGUGAGUGGAUGAGGUGUUGUGCAGCACCAAUACCUACCAGUGAGUGGAUGAGGUGAUGUGCAGCACUAAUACCUACCACUGACUGGAUGAGGUCAUGUGCAGCACCACUGAGUGGAUGAGGUGAUGUGCAGCACUAAUACCUACCACUGACUGGAUGAGGUCAUGUGCAGCACCACUGAGUGGAUGAAGUCAUGUGCAGCACCAAUACCUACCACUGACUGGAUGAGGUGAUGUGCAGAGUUUUGUCUUACCUUGUGAGAGGUAGUGUGUGGUUCAUAUAGCCCAUGCAGUGGGAUGUGUUCAUCAUAUCUUAAACAAUUAUAAUAACAAUCAUUUAUACCCGU
ensembl:lncRNA